rnacentral:rRNA from 1 species
ACGUUAGCGGCGGACGGGUGAGUAACACGUGGGUAACCUACCUAUAAGACUGGGAUAGCUUCGGGAAACCGGAGCUAAUACCGGAUAAUAUUUCGAACCGCAUGGUUCGAUAGUGAAAGAUGGUUUUGCUAUCACUUAUAGAUGGACCCGCGCCGUAUUAGCUAGUUGGUAAGGUAACGGCUUACCAAGGCGACGAUACGUAGCCGACCUGAGAGGGUGAUCGGCCACACUGGAACUGGGACACGGUCCAGACUCCUACGGGAGGCAGCAGCA